UUUUCCUACGGGAGGCAGCAGUGGGGAAUAUUGGACAAUGGGGGCAACCCUGAUCCAGCCAUGCCGCGUGUGUGAAGAAGGCCUUUUGGUUGUAAAGCACUUUAAGCAGGGAGGAGAGGCUAAUGGUUAAUACCCAUUAGAUUAGACGUUACCUGCAGAAUAAGCACCGGCUAACUUGUGCCAGCAGCCGCGGUAAUACAGAGGGUGCGAGCGUUAAUCGGAAUUACUGGGCGUAAAGCGAGUGUAGGUGGCUCAUUAAGUCACAUGUGAAAUCCCCGGGCUUAACCUGGGAACUGCAUGUGAUACUGGUGGUGCUAGAAUAUGUGAGAGGGAAGUAGAAUUCCAGGUGUAGCGGUGAAAUGCGUAGAGAUCUGGAGGAAUACCGAUGGCGAAGGCAGCUUCCUGGCAUAAUA
rnacentral:rRNA from 1 species